AGCAGGUCAGUUACAUGUUGAUGGACUGCCAAUCUCCACCUAUAGCAGGUCAGUUACAUGUUGAUGGACUGCCAAUCCCCACCUAUAGCAGGUCAGUUACAUGUUGAUGGACUGCCAAUCUCCACCUAUAGCAGGUCAGAUACAUGUUGAUGGACUGCCAAUCUCCACCUAUAGCAGGUCAGAUACAUGUUGAUGGACUGCCAAUCUCCACCUAUAGCAGGUCAGUUACAUGUUGAUGGACUGCCAAUCUCCUCCUAUAGCAGGUCAGUUACAU